rnacentral:rRNA from 1 species
CCUACGGGAGGCAGCAGUUAGGAAAUUUUUGCAAUGGGGGAAACCCUGACAGAGUAACGCCGCGUGGAGGAUGACGGCCUUCGGGUUGUAAACUCCUUUUCUGUGGGAAGGGUAGAAGACGGUACCACAGGAAGAAGUCUCGGCUAACUACGUGCCAGCAGCCGCGGUAAU